GAUGAACGCUGGCGGCGUGCCUAACACAUGCAAGUCGAACGGACUUAUACGGAAACCUAGUGAAGUGUAAGUUAGUGGCGGACGGGUGAGUAACGCGUGGGUAACCUGCCGUGUACAGGGGGAUAACAACUGGAAACAGCUGCUAAUACCGCAUAAGCGCACAGCGCCGCAUGGCGGAGUGUGAAAAGCCUUGACAGUACACGAUGGGCCCGCGUCCGAUUAGCCAGUUGGCGGGGUAAGAGCCCACCAAAGCGACGAUCGGUAGCCGGCCUGAGAGGGCGGACGGCCACAUUGGGACUGAGACACGGCCCAA
rnacentral:rRNA from 1 species